CGGCAGGGCGGGGAGGGGAUGUUCGGGGCACAGACAUGCCACAGGGGGAAGCCAGGCUCAAGUUUCUUUUUCCUCCUCCUCUGUCUCUACAAAACAAAGUCCCUCCCCUGCCUUGGUCUGGCUCAGAGCAGGUUUAGCACCGAGACGAGGGUUUGCCAGCAAAGGGCUUGGCUCGGGUUCAGCUUCCCCCCUCUUCUGUCCUCUGCCUAAUGUUGGCUCGGGAGAGAAAAAUCUCCUGGGGCUGCUCUAGGAAAGUCAGCUGAGUCUUCUCAAGAGACGGAGCGGCCGGAGCUGUGAGGAGGUCCAGGAACCAACAAAGACACCACACGAAGACAAUUACACAUGCAGAACAGAUGUCACAGCAGGAGGAAGACACAGAGCACAUUUCUCAGGCAUUAAUACACUAAGGAAGCUCUGCCAAGGGUCCAGCACUUGGAACAGCAGCCACAGGACAAGGCAAAAUCCUGGUGAUGAUGAAACCACAUCAGGAAAAACAGUGUGACAGAUUCUCCAUCGGGAUCCUCUGAAUUUCACUGAAUGCUCCUGCACACAAAGCUGUGUUUUCAGCUGAGAAAAGGGACAUAGAAUUUAAAACUC